GGCUGUCACAUUCGCGGCGUGCCGAAUGCUCGUCUCUCGCGUGGCGACGACGGCGGCGGCGUGACGCGUUAAAUGAAAAUGGCAACGCGCCCCUAUGCCAUGCGGCUGCCUCCACGGGGUACGUACGGUCGCGCACACAAAUUGCGCUGCUUUAUCAAUCUGAAAUAACACCAGGACGCGGGACAAUGAGCGACAAUGCAAGACUUACAAGCAUUUGGCCGACUAACGUUAAGGAUCACGCUAUGGUUGACAUAUAGAUGAGAUUGAAUCUUAGGAUAUCGUGCUCAAAAGAUUUCACGGAGUACCAUGAUAAGCAAUAUAUUUUCAAUUUGCAAGAAGAUAGCGAAAGCAUUAAUUCGCAAAGCAAAUGACAUAGCAGCAGUUUAUUAGAAUAUACAUGAAAACUUCAAGAUAAUCCAAUAAAAAGUAAAAUAUCUUUGGAAGAAACUUUUAAUGCAUUUAUUGUCUUAAUAAUUUGCUGUAAAACUGUAUUAAUAAAAAAAUAUUGUAAGAAAGAGAGAAAGAUAUUUAAAGCAUAUUUUAUUUAUGCUGAUAUCAUAAUAUCCAUUCUGUUUAAUUGUAAAUCUUAUGUAUAUUCAAUGAUAUAGUCAAGAUGAAUAAUUUAGAAUAUUUCUUUUAGACAGUAAUCACAUUUAACUUGAUAUGAUGUACCGUAUCUUAAAAAGAAGAGAAAAGAUUUGCCCCUUUUUAUCUAAAAACUCGUUUUUAAUUAUUUUGUCUAAUUACUUUGAAGUAUUUUUUAUGUAUCUACAUGUAAAAUGAUAUAAAUAAAAUAGCUAUACAUACCUAACAUAUGUAUUUCGUAUUUCACUUGAUUACAUUAUGUUUUUGCAAAACAAUACCUCGCGCGCAUUGAUAUAAAAAUUAUUUUUACGAUUUUAUUUUUUAAUUUAUCGCGCUUAUCAUAAUAAAUAAAUAUUAGCAUGUAAAUAAUAGUAAUUAAUAAUAGCGUAUUUAUAGUAAAGUAAGUAAUUAAUAGUAGCAUCCGAUAUAUAUAUUGGCUGUGAGAAUAAAACAUCUGCUUGUACUGCGCGAUUAAAUUAUAAGUUUAUACGUAGUGAUAUAUUAAUGUUGAAAUUAAACGCGCAAAGUCUAGAUCUAAAAUGUAUGAAAUUUAUAUUAAGGUUUCUGACCUUUUAUUACAGUCAUAUUGGAUUAUAUAAUUUUAUGAUGAUUGAUCAAUGUCCACAGUCAUUUAUUAGUAACAUUACAUAAAUCCUUGUAUUUGUAUCAAAUAAGAAUUGUGAUAAGAUGUGGAGAAAUCUAAUUAAUUUUGACGUGCAUAGUGUGUAAGAAUACAUGACUUUCGUUCAGAUUCGUUUUAGAUAUCAUAAUCCGAUAUGGCUGGAAAGG